GGGGUGCUGAGUGGCGAACGGGUGAGUAACGCGUGAGUAACCUGCCCUUGACUUUGGGAUAACUUCAGGAAACUGGGGCUAAUACCGGAUAGGAGCUCCUGCUGCAUGGUGGGGGUUGGAAAGUUUCGGCGGUUGGGGAUGGACUCGCGGCUUAUCAGCUUGUUGGUGGGGUAGUGGCUUACCAAGGCUUUGACGGGUAGCCGGCCUGAGAGGGUGACCGGCCACAUUGGGACUGAGAUACGGCCCAG
rnacentral:rRNA from 1 species